rnacentral:rRNA from 1 species
UACGUAGGUGACAAGCGUUGUCCGGAUUUACUGGGCGUAAAGAGCGCGCAGGCGGUCGUUCAAGUCGCGUGUGAAAGCCCCCGGCUCAACUGGGGAGGGUCACGCGAUACUGAUCGACUCGAAGGCAGGAGAGGGAAGUGGAAUUCCCGGUGUAGUGGUGAAAUGCGUAGAGAUCGGAAGGAACACCAGUGGCGAAGGCGGCUACCUGGACAAAUACUGACACUGAGGCGCGAGAGCGUGGGGAGCAAACAGG